rnacentral:lncRNA from 1 species
GGGAGGGUAAUUCUGUUAUUUGACCUUUUUCUAGAAAUCUGACAAUUUCAUUGAGUCCGAAAAAUCGAGUUCAGUUGGGUAGCAAUUCCAGUUUAUUUUUAUUGGACUUCGAACAAAUCUCGAGAGUUCAUUCAAUGAUUUGAAAGUUGGUUGAAUUUCUGGUGUCUGUUGACCUCGCGAUCGCGGAGGAUCUUCGCUUUUGUGAGGGUCACAUUUGUGAUGGCAGG